AUUGAACGCUGGCGGCAGGCCUAACACAUGCAAGUCGAACGAGUGGCGGACGGGUGAGUAAUGUCUGGGACACUGCCUGAUGGAGGGGGAUAACUACUGGAAACGGUAGCUAAUACCGCAUACCAUCAGAUGUGCUCAGAUGGGAUUAGCUGGUUGGUGGGGUAACGGCUCACCAAGGCGACGAUCCCUGGCUGGUCUGAGAGGAUGACCAGCCAGACUGGAACUGAGAGACGGGCCAGAUUCCUACGGGAGGAAGCGGUGGAGAAUUGGGCACAAUGGGCGAAAGCCUGAUGGAGCCAUGCCGCGUGUAUGAAGAAGGCAUUCGGGUUUUAAAGUACUUUCAGCGGGGAGGCGUUACCCGCAGAAGAAGCACCGGCUAACUCCGUGCCAGCCGCCGCGGUAAUUC
rnacentral:rRNA from 1 species